rnacentral:rRNA from 1 species
AUUGAACGCUGGCGGCAGGCCUAACACAUGCAAGUCGAACGGCAGCACAGAAGAGCUUGCUCUUUGGGUGGCGAGUGGCGGACGGGUGAGUAAUGUCUGGGAAACUGCCCGAUGGAGGGGGAUAACUACUGGAAACGGUAGCUAAUACCGCAUAACGUCGCAAGACCAAAGUGGGGGACCUUCGGGCCUCACACCAUCGGAUGUGCCCAGAUGGGAUUAGCUAGUAGGUGGGGUAAUGGCUCACCUAGGCGACGAUCCCUAGCUGGUCUGAGAGGAUGACCAGCCACACUGGAACUGAGACACGGUCCAGACUCCUACGGGAGGCAGCAGUGGGGAAUAUUGCACAAUGGGCGCAAGCCUGAUGCAGCCAUGCCGCGUGUAUGAAGAAGGCCUUCGGGUUGUAUAGUACUUUCAGCGGGGAGGAAGGCGGUGAGGUUAAUAACCUUGCCGAUUGACGUUACCCGCGGAGGAAGCACCGGCUAACUCCGUGCCAGCCGCCGCGGUAA